AGUGAACGCUGGCGGUAGGCCUAACACAUGCAAGUCGAACGGCAGCACAGUAAGAGCUUGCUCUUACGGGUGGCGAGUGGCGGACGGGUGAGGAAUACAUCGGAAUCUACUUUUUCGUGGGGGAUAACGUAGGGAAACUUACGCUAAUACCGCAUACGACCUACGGGUGAAAGCAGGGGAUCUUCGGACCUUGCGCGAUUGAAUGAGCCGAUGUCGGAUUAGCUAGUUGGCGGGGUAAAGGCCCACCAAGGCGACGCUCCGUAGCUGGUCUGAGAGGAUGAUCAGCCACACUGGAACUGAGACACGGUCCAGACUCCUACGGGAGGCAGCAGUGGGGAAUAUUGGACAAUGGGCGCAAGCCUGAUCCAGCCAUACCGCGUGGGUGAAGAAGGCCUUCGGGUUGUAAAGCCCUUUUGUUGGGAAAGAAAAGCAGCAGGCUAAUACCCCGCUGUUCUGACGGUACCCAAAGAAUAAGCACCGGCUAACUUCGUG
rnacentral:rRNA from 1 species